GCUCCGGUGGUGUAGCCCGGUUUAGCAUAACGGCCUUUCGAGUCGUUGAUCGCGGGUUCAAAUCCCGCCCGGAAGG
rnacentral:tRNA from 2 species